GCUGGGUGUGGUGGCGUACACCUGUAAUCCCAGCUACGUGGGAGGCUGAGGCAGGAGAAUUGCUUGAACCUGGGAGGCAGAGGUUGCGGUGAGCCAAGAUUGUACCCCUGCACUCCAACCUGGGUGACAGAGUGAGACCCUGUCUCAA
ensembl:misc_RNA Metazoa_SRP Metazoan signal recognition particle RNA